rnacentral:lncRNA from 1 species
CCCCACCUUCACUCUCCUCUCCGAGGGGGGAGGGCCAGGGGGUGGGGAAAGAAAACCCCCAAAUCCCCAGCCCUGGGCAGAGAUGUCGAAGAAACGCAAAGCCCUCGAGGGUGGAGGAGGUGGCGGAGAACCCCAGCUCCCAGAGGAGGAACCCACUGCCUGGUUUGGGGACAGCAGCGAGGAGCAAGACCUUUUAAAAAUGGAACUGUCGGCUGCGGUUGGAAGGCGCAGGCAGGCGCCCUGGAGAGAAUUCACAGGGAGGCACAGGACAGAACGCUCCCAGGAACGAGGAAGCACCCCCAGAAAGGAGCGCUCUAUGGCCCCCAGGCAGCCGAGGAAACGCGAACGUGAGCCCCGUGACUGCACUCCCACGUGCACCGACGCUGCCAGUGUGAGCAGAAGCGGAGCCCGCAGAGCGCCAGGCUGCGCCGGGAGAUGCAUGUGAAAAACUGCGCCAGAGCAUGGCGGGAACUUUCCGAGAGGGCGUGUUGUUUCCAGGCGGUUCCACCUUCUAAUAUGAAACAGUCUUGGUUGAUUUUCCUUGAUACUACUUUAUGCUCGGCCUGGUUGUUGGCAAGUAGCUGCCCGCGUCUGUACGCGCCCUUGAUUAGUUUCCACUGCAUGUGUUUUAACACAGUGCUCCUUUUUCCACGUUUAUUUGGGCCAACCCUGUCUGCAAAGAUCCAGUUUAAUAUAAAUUUGAGUCUACGUGCUAUAGCCUGGAAAUGUACUAAAGACACUACAACAUAUUGCUGAAAGAAUAGAAUCUUUAUUCUGAAUGCAAAGCAGACACCUAGUAAAAAAUUCUGGAAUAAUAAAACAAGCAAGGCUUAUGUGCUCAGUUUUGGGGACGCUCCAAUUUAAAGGCUUAGUCAUUGUCACGGUGUAAGGUUCACCCAUUGCCCCCAUCACACAGAUGUGGGAUUGUUGAGAGCUGAGAGUCCUAUGACCUCUUCUGCUGCCCAAGAACUUGGGGUGGGUGGUAACUGGAGAAAUCAAAGUGAUCAGCUGCAAAGAAUGCUUCCAUUGCUGGAGCUUGGUUGUGCGGGAUUCUCCACGGACGUCUUAAGGCAGAGACAAAAACAAGGACUUUGGGAGGCUCCUGUGAGCAGCCAAAAGGGUUUAGAGUCAGGCAGCCUCAGGUUACAAAUCCAGUCCUGCAGGCUAGGAGUUGUGUAAGCUUAAAAAAGUGACUGCACUUCCAGGAACAUCAUUUCCCUACCUGCUCCUCCUUCUGACGGGUUUUCUGAGGACAAUGGAAUCCACACUCUGUGUCGA